UUUGUACUCCCUCCGUCCCAAAAUGCUUGUCUUAAAUUUUUCUAAACAUGGAUGUAUCUAGUUACAUUUUAGUGUUAGAUACAUCCGUAUCU
rnacentral:pre_miRNA from 1 species